rnacentral:rRNA from 2 species
UAGGUGAACCUGCGGUAGGAUCAUU